CCUCCCUUCUUUUUCAGGCGCCGCUUCAUUUUCUUUCUUUCUCUUCUUCCACAUUUUCUCUCUUUAACUUCGAUCUCUUACUGUGAUAUUUAUCUUUUAUUCUUCGCACAUUAAUUUCUUUGAAAUUUUGUUCUUGGAUCUUCGUUCCAUGAUAUUUCUGAUCAAGUGCUUUUCUCGGAUUUCUUUGAGUUGAUCGAAACGGGGGUUCUGUGUGCAAGAGUGCUAAAUGUUCACCUUUUUUAGACAAUAUUGCUCCAAUUUUUCUUGUCCCCUGUUGUAUUCUGCCUCUUACAAAUUAGUUGUUUCCCUGGUCUAUUUGGCUACAUGUUCACCUUUUGAUUUCUCGAUUAAAACAUGACUAUGUACCUACAUUUUUUGAUAACUUCAGUGCUAAUGUUGUCGUUGAUGGGAACACAGUCAACCUAGGGUGCAGGGAAAGAAGAUUACAAUAGACUGAGACCUUUGAGCUAUCGUGGAGCUGAUGUUUUAAUUUUAGCGUUCUCGUUGAUUAGCAAAGCUAAUUAUGAAAAUUUUGCCAAAAAAUGGAUUCCUAUGCUCAGGCAUUAUGCACUGGUGUUCUAAUAAUUCUCGUAGGAACAAAUCUAGAUGGCCUAUGCCUUUUACAAUUUUCCUUACAACUCUUGCAACGGCAUUGGAUAUCAGUCUGAGCGAGGCAUCACUUGUGGUAGUUUUGGUCGGACCAAAAAAGAAUCAGACUGUGAUACUCAUUCUGAUAAGACUUUUGAGAAAAGUCUUGAUGUUACUGUUGUGAAAGAAGUUUGUGGAAAGACAGAAAUAGUUCGUCGUAGUGUUACAUUACCUCUGGAGUAUUCCAAGCUACUGCAGUUUUGGAACCAGACCCUAUGUUUCUUGAUCAAACAUGGCUUGGGAUUGGUGGCCUCAAGGUACCAGAUGAGCAAUGCAGGAGAAAACAUUUGAUUUUGGAGGCCCUUGCUCGGAAGAGGAAACAAGUGUACUUCCUUAAGAGCCUCAAGUUCUACGAUGACUAAGCGAAUAGCCUCAAGAAAGGCAAUUGAAAGGUUGUAUCCAUGAGGAUUGCUGCAGUGGGUACUUCAACACACAAAUGUGUAGUUUGUGAUGAGAUGGUGGAAAAGAUUGAUUUGGUACCUGUAGGGAAUAUUUCAAGCAUUAUCUCUAGCUUGAACCCCACUGUGGUCAUACACUAAAGUACGGUGGCGUCCAAAGGGAAAGAAGAUAGAGAAAAAGAGUUG